rnacentral:rRNA from 1 species
UACAGGGGGUGCAAACGUUGCUCGGAAUCAUUGGGCGUAAAGGGCGCGUAGGCGGUUUCUUAAGUUUGAAGUGACAGUGGGUGGCUUAACUACCCAAGGCCUUUGAAAACUGGGGAACUUGAGGACCAGAGAGGGACAUAGAAUUCCGGGUGGAGUGGUGAAAUGCGUAGAUAUCCGGAGGAAUACCAAAGGCGAAGGCAGUGUCCUGGAGGGUUAACUGACGCUGAGGCGCGAAAGCUAGGGGAGCGAACAGG